CCGGGCGACUCGCUUUGCAUUAUUACUUAUUACUAAUAAUUAACAAUGGUAAUACGACAUUGGAUAUAAGGAAAAAUGAGUUCUCAUAACAGUGAAUUAAACGAAAAAGUGAAAGCAAUAAUAAAAUUGUGUGUCAUUGGUGUGUGUAAAUUAAACUAUGUUGUAAGGAAAACAAAGUCAAAUUCAACACGAAAAGGAAAAGCCCCUUUUUUUUUAAAUUAAAUUAUUUAUCAACGUAGGUUCUCUUAUAUUUCAGAAAAUUAUCCCUUUUCACGCGACGUACGUCCAGCCUGGCUAUUAUCGACGUCUAAAACUCCGUUGCUACCUACGUUUUAGGUAUCUGUUCACUUUCGCAUCUGGGCAGGCAAGUUAUACAAGUUUCCGACUUUUUUGGAAGGCCAUUCACGUCGACAAGCUUCAAAUAAAUGUCAAGUUGCUCUUCCCUGAACGCCUUGCACGCCUUGGAAAACGGAAAGGCAGAACAAGGAAAAUGAUACAAAAAAAACACGUCCCUUCAUCCAGAGGACGAGUACGUUCCUUGAACCACGUUGUAUGAAUAGUCAAUCGGGAACCUCUUACCCGCAGAACGUGCCGCCAUGACGAUUAACAACCUGCGUUCGUUGUCGUAGCUGUCAAGAGUGUCAGCCAGCGUGGAAUACAUACGACUAGAAUUCAAAGGACGAUCCAAUCGCCCAUGAGAGGUAACUCUAUCAUUGAGAACACCGAGUUUGAAUGCUGUAAAAGAAAAGUGUCGAGAACGAAGAUAUAUCUUUUGACGGUUUGUAUUUCAUAAUCAAUCAGAAGAAAAUGGAAUUAAAACACGUCGUUCAAUCACUUUUAAAAUUCGAUUGGAUUAGAAUAGCUGACGCGGGAAGAUGGAGUGGUAAGUCUUUAGUUUUCUAUGUACAUAUGUAUAUAUUAUCAAUACUUAAAAAAGUCUAUACAAGAUUUCUACCCGUGCAAACAUUGCGUAUUGCAUGGGAAGAAUCAUUGGCCACUUGUGUUCAGCACGGAUCUUAACCUUUUCUCUCCGAAUUGUUGUGCGUUGUCCCGACAUGCGUCAAGUCAUCGACGUCAGCAGAAGCACAAAAAAAAGAAGAAAAGGACGGGUACAAGUCAAGGAAACAAUAAUGAACCAAUUCAGUUUGUAACAGACUCUCAAAAAAGGAAAUGGGUGGAAGAGCCGUCACGCGUUAACGUAAUAGAGGUUAGUUUAAAAGUUGAUCGCGUUGAAAGGGUAGUGAAAAGGAUUGUGUCUACACAUCUACUUGAGCCUAACCGGUAAGGGUUUCACUUUAAUUUCUUAUUUCUCAAAAAACCAAAAAAUCAUUUUUGUUCAUUUUUUUUUUUUACAUAUAGUUUCAUUUUACUAAUUUCAAUCACUAACAAGAGAUGACAAAAUUCUUAUCCACUUGUCACGGAAUUCCUUAUCCAACUAUUUGUUAGGUCACCAACUAUAGUAUCACUAUUGGCUUAAGGAAAACGAUCAAAGAGAAAAGAUUUCGCUUAUUUAUGUACAAAAUGCUUUAGAGUCGAAUUCUCCAAAGUAUUUCACGAUGGCCAUGACAUUAGGCAAGGGAAACGCAUUUCCUCGUUAUUUUGAAACAUUAUUUGAAAAAUAUGGAGGACCUGAUUAACUUAUGUGACACAAUGAAUUUUAGUUUGGAUGGAAAUAGAGGGGGAGUUCUACUCCGGGUCACUGUAAACUCCUCCUCAGCCGAUUUUUAAGGUGUUUCAAUUGAAAAAACUAAAAGAACUACCUUAUUUUCUCUCUUCUUCAAUUUCUUCGUUAGUUGGUAAUUUCAUUUCUUAAAUAGACCAACUAAAAAUAGUAUGCGAUGACAGGCGCUCUUUUGGCAUUCGGUUGGUGUUUCAUUUAGUUGGAACUACAGCGCCAAAAGGGCAACAAUUGGCAAGAGGACGGCGACCAGGGAAGCGGCCAUCUUAGCAGAUGCAGAUCGGACGUGAACAGUGCGUCCAUUCAGUGGCUGUGGCGGUCGAUAGUUGUUGACUAGGUUGUCUCCGUCUUCGCUAAUCAACUGCCGGAAUUCAGCCAACUAAAAUUAUUGAAACGAAGGAAAGAAAAAGGUCAGCAUUUUCAGUUUUUCUCUCCAUCAUAACAAUCCGUUUGACAUCGAUCGCCUAAUCAAUAGCCACGGUUGCUUAACGUCAAAGGCAGCAGAUACGAAAAGAAGAGGGAGCAAACCUGGUGUUCAGAGGCCGUUAUAGGGUCGGCAAAAACUGUCCAGACGACAAUCUCUUGGCAGCCGGGUGUAGUCAGUGAGCCCAUGUAACGGUAAAACUUGGAAAGCGAUUCCGGUAGGAGGUCGCGCAGUGACAAAGUAUCGUUCAGCACCCAUUCGUUGCCUUCGUGCACCACGUGAUCCAAAACGGACGUGAUCGGAUCUAAAGCCGGAUUAUCCUCUUUGGACUCCUGUGACGACGACAAAAGACGUAGACAAAUAUGAACAAGUCAAUGAGAGUUAUUAUAUGAAUAAUCAGACAAGCCUGGAUUUUCGGCUUCUCAUUUUUAAAUACCUCGACAAAGACUCCGAGGACAGCCAAGCCAUCUGGAUGCGAUGUGGCGUUGCCCAAACUACCGUACUUUUUAUUGUAGUGGACAAAGUGCAAUUCAGCAGCGUAACUGUGACACACAAAGGCUGUUAAUUUCUAAACCUCCAAUGUUAAGUUGCUGAAGAAAUCAUUGUACUGUUUGUUAUCGACGGUGUGUUCGCUGCCGCGGACGCCUUCGGCGCCCCAAUGGAAGUGCACCUGAGCGAAGAUGAAUUGAUUAGUCAGACCACCAUCCCUGACGAACGGCAUUCGAUAAUCGGCGUAAUUCUUCGGCAAACUCAGCAGCACUGUAACAGAACAAAAGCGUGAAUUAGGACCGGAAUAAAAAAAAAAACUUUCAACAUCUAAAAAAAAAAAAAAGAAUAACGACUUGGCGAGAAAAUCGAGACCACAUACCCGUGUGUCCGUUAUUAAUCAGUGUCAAUGAUUUGCCAUUUGUAUCGUAAUUGCCGAGAUGGAUAGGCAGGAAGUUUUGAGGCUUGGCCGAGGAUGGAACGAUGUCAAUUGGCGAUUGUUUGUUGCCGUUGCACAAAUCGUAGAAAUUAUACCAGUGUGCUGGAUCUAAAGCAGGUGAAAAUUCAUUACGAUUCAAUCGCCAAACAAUAAAGUUCAGUUGCCUUUGUUCAAAGGUAAGGCGUGUGUUCAAAAGGCACAAUCGGGUACGUACCAUCCUCGCCGGAAUAACCCCAAUGAUGAGAACCGCCACUCGCCAGGAUACCUGAGAAAAUUCAAAUCAUAAUGAAAUGACGUCAGCUUCUUUUCUUGUCCUAUUAACGGCACACUAUGACAAGGCGGACGGGCGCUGAUUACUCCGCUCGAUGAAGAGCCGAGAGGUGGUAAUUACGGGACGAAUUAAGAAUUAUUUAAAAAGAGGAAAGAGCUGGGAACGUUGUAGUACGUAAUGGCUUUUUCUUGUUUCAAAAGGGUAGACAGAGAAAGAUCAAAAGAGAAAAGUUUGUCAGAGACUUGGAAUGGGAAGCCGUCCUAUAGCUGCUGAUCUUUUCAUCUAUCGAUCGUCGAUUGAUCUCAGCAGCGCGUGUAAAAAGGACGAAGAGCAACUCUUUGGCGCUGCAUUUCCCCCGUGUUACAAAGGUGUACUGGUAUCCGUCAGGAGUUGGGGAAUUGCGCCACGAUACCGACCCGUCUAAUGGAAUCGAGUAAAGCCAUUUCGAGUGGCAUUUAUAAUCUUAUGUUUCAGUCCUUUUUCCCCCCUUCUUUUUCAUGUUUUCGUGUUGAAUGUUUUUCUUCUACAUUUUUUGGGUGUGGAAGAGUCGACGGAUGAGGCAAAUAAAAGUGUUGUAUGACUGGACAGGGAACUUGGGGGAAUCUAAGUCCCUGUUGUACGUAUACGGUGCGGAUGUACGUGGCGGGUAAAUCUAGAUUCAACAAGAUAACGGAGUUUAGCGCAAGGUUCGCUCAAGGGCUUUAGAUGCGCGUCACUUUCUUCCUCUUAUGGUUCCUUAGUGGAUUCAAGAUGAUGUAAAGGUCUUGACCUUAUUGAUGCUGUGUUGCAUUUCCCUCUCACUCCCUUGUCGCGCGAAUGUUUAACUCGCUGCAAAGUACCAUACAAAUUAAACUUUGUUUCUAUAAGAAUUUCCGCCCGCAUUUCAUGGAGCUUUUGUAGCUCCACUUUCAGCCCAUUGUAAAAUGACGACAGGACACCUCUUUAAUAGAUGUCGUCACUGAUUGUCGGUUCCCAAGUUCCUGCGGUUGGAAUGAUACGAAUAGGUGGUCAGGGCUGUUAAAGUGAUUGAAAAUUCGGCUGGCCGUGAAAUGAAAUGGAGAAGCCGAUGGCCGUGAGAGUUGUUGGAUGGCUUUCUCUGUCUCCCUCCAGGGCAACCUUAUUCCCAAUCCAAAAAGGCAAUCAAAAAGAAACUCCAUUUUUGUGUGUUUUACUUUUGGCCAAUGUUAAAAAUGUUUAGAAAAGAGGAAAAAAGUUUUCAUCGAGGGGAUUUUUAUCGAUCGUCCAGGGGUUUUCCCCCGUCAUACUUUGGCUCCACCCAACAAGCAGCCUACCGCAGUGCUCGCUCAAGAAUUUUGUUCUUCCAUCUGCUCAUCUUUCGAUCUCUUUCCUUGUAAAAUCAAUGCCAGGCACGAACCGACAUCCAACUUUUACUUCGACGCUCAAUUCCUUAACAAACAAAUAUCUCAAUUCCUUACAUUUCAAACGAUUUCACUAACAAAUGAGUGUAUCAUAAGAAUUCCAGAAGAUUCAGCUGGGAAUCUGGUGACGUGCGCAAAGAUCUACGAUAAAAAGCGGAAUCAAUUCUUUUUGACAACCGUCCUGCUAGCCUAUUACUUCUAAAUGUCGGAGCUCUUCCCAAAUGCUCGAGCGAUCCGACCCCAUCCAUAUGUAGUACAUGGCCUUUCUGACGGCCCUCUCUCUGCCCGGCUUGCAUGCUAUACCGAAUAUCUACUAUAGCGACUGGUUCUGCUUAGUACAUCGCCCAGAGAUGAAGAGAUGCAAGGCGAUCAAUACUAGACACUCUGGCGAGAACUCGGCAGCUAAAAACGAAAGAUAGGACAUGCCUUGCCAUCUAAUAUCUCUGUUGUGUUUUUUUGUGUGUGUGUGUGUGUUUUUUCUUGGACUGGCGACAUAGCGAAACUGAUCCUUGUAAAGUUCAGUUUCUUGGCUUUCGUGCUUUGUUUUUAUUUCCAGAAAAAAACAAAAACAAAACACGGGAGUCGACUUUCAGUCCGCCCUUCAUCUGUUCGGUGGCCGUGAAAUUGACCUGCCAAGAGGUGGGAUGGAGUAAUAGCGGUAUGAAUGUUAGUAGGAGUCGCAUUUCUACCUAUGUGUGUCUAUGACAACGGGACAAACGCAGCAAUACGACAGCGAUGUAUAUAUUGUCUUCUUCGCACGACACGCAAUAUUUUCAUCGAGUCUGAUUCAAAGUUAAGCUCAAACAAUAGCACGAAAUAUGAGAGGCACCUUACACUUUCGUGCGACAUUUUCAAGUUCCGAUUUCCGAGUCCUCUUUCCCCCCCUUUUUUUUUAAAUUGGUCUAUUGUCGUUUUAUAGGUCAACGGAACUAGUGGGAAAUACGCGUAACAGGAAAGCCGAACCGAAUGACUACCAAUUUCUAAUCGCCUUUCAUUUCGGACGCUGCUCAAUCCGACCUAAACCGGCUUGUUGGUGGCCAAAGGACCUGCCCCAAGACCGUUGGCUUAUAUUUAGAAGAUGAAUAAAGAUGAUAAGUUCGAUUCUACAGCUACAAUCGACGCGAAAAAAAAGUUUCGACCAAUUUCGAGAUCUGGCAUCAACAAAAGUAUUACCCAAUAAAAGAUCCAUUCUUCCGUCCACUCUCAAAAGAACUUGGCAGACUGUACGUUGUUGGAUAACCAACAACAAUUCUUGGCCAAAAGAUCUUGUGCCGUAGUCCACAUUUGAUUGAUUCGCUUCUCGACGGAAACUUAACUAUUAAAACAUUUCUAGAGCAAGCCGAUGAGACGUCAACGGUAGAUUCAGAACUUUUUGGAAACUUGGAAGACGGCCACGCAAUAAAGAAGAAAUUGCUAUGAUUCUAGGCCUUGAGGGGGAGUUACCUUUUAUUACCGCUUCUAUUUUUGCUCGGUCUACUUUUCAAAAAAGCUUAAAGCGGAACUGAGACCACCGCCAUUUUCAUUUCACGUUACACCAAAGAAAAAAUGAUUCACAGCUGCGUUUUCUCUUUUCCAGUACCGAGAAAGAAAAACAAAACAAGUACGCAAUGCUCAAAUAUUUGGUUCUCAUUGUUGUAAAUAGCACUAAAAAAGAAGUAUAAACACGGCUGGGUACACUGUAGAUCUUUUUACAAGCUUCCAUUCGUUGGCACCGUUAUCGAUCAGAUUUCCGAAGCCCGACCUUAUACUACAUAUUCGACUUCUUUUCAAUUACCUUCCCCCAUUUUCCCUUUUUUCUUCUUUUCUUUGGGGGUUUUUCCCUCUUUUAUAACGCUGGAAAGGAACUCCCUUUACUGUCACAAGCGGAAAGCAGUCACGCCCGCGCUCGGCUAAUAGCUAUACUCGAUCUAAAAGAACAUUUAGCGAAACUAGGCAAAAUUCUUAUAGUGCGUUUUACACGUACGUGGAACGUACGCGGAAACAAAAAGCUGAGCUGGCCCGUUUUUUUUUUGUUUUAGGUAUUUCCCGAGAAAAUAAAAAAAAGGAUUGCGGGAGGCAUUCGAUUGUAUCGGAAAUGUGCCCAACGCUGCCAUAUCGACUUUGACGAAAAUACCCAAAGAUAAAAUAAUCAAAACGCAAAAGGGGGAAAGAAAAAUGUAGGAAUGCCAAUCAACUGUGAGCAUUUUCUUUUCAUGCCAUUGCUGGAGGAAAGAAAAGAGGGAAAACGUGAAUUGAAAAGGAAAUAAGAAAACUCUUCGGGCGGUGACGGAAAAUAUUCAAAUUUAUUAUGAAUGUUAAUCAAACCCAUCGCGACAUUUUCUACCCGAAACUCCCUGGUUUUUUCCUAACCGCACACCGACAUACGAGAUCAGAUUAUUCGCGUAAAUUGAAACAUACACGGGAAAAAAAGUCCGACUGCGAUAGAGUAGACGUGCUAGAUACGUUGUAGGCAAUAAUAACUCUAAAACAAAAUAGACAGCGACCUUGCUCAAUGUUCGUCCGGGCCUGGAACGGGAUACGUGCGUGAUUGUCGUUUUUUUUCUUCCCUUUCAUUCGUUCCACGUCCUGAUAAUUCCUUAAAGGCUUCCGUCCUCUGCGCCCGCUACAUAACCCCGCAAGGUUAUUGACAACCGGCAAAUUGCCAAGCGGGGGGGUAUACAAUAAAACGCGUAAUCAAAUGAUCGAUGUUUAUCUAGUAGCCUAAAGAGCUCUAAAUGAGACAGGUACAGAAGUACUGCCUAAACGCAUGUCGGGGAAGGAAUUAAGAAAGAUUGAGCACGUUCUCACGCCGUUUUUAGUGUCCCCGUUAUGCCUCUAUGCUUUAAUUACACGAUCGUAAUCAAGGCCUGCACAAUAACCACCGGCGGCCAUUAAACCCCACAGUCAUUUUCAGAAUUCGGUCAUGGCUAGGUCGGAAAGACUAAAAGACUAUGAUCGAGCUAAUUGGCAAGCUGUCGUAUCUCUUAGAAUUCGAGACGUUCUACAUGGAGGUCAACUUGUGCGUGUCCGUGUACCGUAAUAAACUGUAGAAAAGUUAGAAACUGAGCCCGCUGAUUCGGAAAUACUUCCAAACCGGAACGCAAAAAGUAGGUAAGUUACGGUUCGAAAUCUUGGACGCGUUGUUAUUUUAGUCACGUUGACGAACGAGGGGAAAUGAAAGAGAGAGUUGUGAUAAAAGCCUUUACAGGCGCAUUAAAAGGGGAAUUCCGACAUCUUAUCCGACUAGAGAAUAGUUGAAUCAAUCGACUUACCCGUCACCAUCAAACUCAAGAUGGAGGCGACGACGAAGACGUCUUUAAGUAACGUUGAAUGACGGGAAGACAUCCUGAAAAGUGAGAGAAAUAAAAAAUAUUAAUGUAGACACGAUAAAAGGACACAUCCGCGAUGAAACAGAUAGUUCUUUUCUAUCCAAAUACACAGUAGCUAGGUUUUGACGUUUCGGGGAAGGAAAAAAAAAAAAAAAACUGUUUUUCACAAGAAGGCGCGAGUAGAUCAUAACGAUUGCUAGUCACGACUUGUGCUGUAGACUAUCGAUCGUGAAUGGAAACCAUGUCUCCGGGCAACUCGCAACUAGCGACAGAGCUCCUGGCCUCAACCGACCGACCACAGCAAGAAAUAAAAAAAAAAACUGAUCACAAAAGGCGAAACUUUAAGAAGAUUCAAGAUCUGAAGGGCCAUCACUCCUUGAUGAAACGGCAGGAAAUCGAGAUUGUCACCAACCAAAGUUCUUUUUAAAAACAUAAAAUCUCGAAACGCGGUUGAAGUGAAUUCUUACUUGAAAUUGUAGAACAAAUGAAUGUGGCAACCGCUUUUUAAAAAAAUGUAUAUCUUGCUUGUGUCAACUUAAGAAUCAAAUUACAACUAUCCGUUUACGGACAAGAACGUAAAGUUACUGACAGUCGCCGACGAUGGUAAUAAUUUUAUAAGAAAGCGAAAGUAGAAUACACGUGACGAGGUUCGUGGCCACUUCCUUGAACAGUUCGGCGAUAACGGAACGACGACCUUGCCCCGAAUUUGAAUAACCGAACAUGGACGCUUUUUACCUACGAUAGAAAUUUCUGCAAACUGUUAACGCCGUAGUUGCCAUUCUAAACGAAUUCCCAUUUUUAAAAUGGCCAAGCAAUAAAUAACGCAAAAGAGGAAACGCCGAUUGACCUUUCUCUAACCUUGAUUCGUAUUUGUCGUUACUGGACAACGAGACAAUUCCGGUGUUGGGUGAGAAAUAAAUCCAAUCACUCAAUUUCUUUCAAAAAUAACGUAAGUCAUUAAGAAGGUGAUGGUCCAAUGAGACUCGCGUUGUACACACAAUUGAAAGGCUGUCGAUGAAGGGCAAUAAAAGAAAACAAAUCAACCAUAAAUAGCGUAAGGCCUUUCACUUCCUAGCUCUCAGAAGAGUAAUCACAAUUGACUGGGGGGGGGGACAAAAAAAAAAAGUAAAUACGAAGAAGAAAGAAAAUAGCCCAAUAUUAUGUUUUACUUUGCGUCGGCUAUGCAAUGCCUUUCGCAACUUGCUUUCGGUGACAUUUGACAAACGUCUGAAACAGUAGACGACAUCAGUGUAGUGCCAUAUCAAGACUUGACAUUCGAAUUUUCUUUUGGAGCUAGUGCAACUGAACUCGGUCGACCCAUACAUGGAGCCGACGAUAAUAGGACACACGUGAAGGCAAAUAAAUUUGGAAUGUGUUGUGUCAAACACUACUUACUGGUUGUCUGCGAAUAUGUUCGGCUACCGAAGAAAUACAGGCACAAAGUGGGAAAACCCAAACCGGGAAUUGUACGGGGAAAAAAAAACCCAAAGAGAACUAGCGCAAUUUUGUCUCUUGAAAGACAAAUAUUGGCGGACACACACACACAAUAGGUGAAAAGAGCCGAAGGGAAUUUUUCAGGU